rnacentral:rRNA from 1 species
UACGUAGGGGCCGAGCGUUGUCCGGAGUUAUUGGGCGUAAAGCGCGCGCAGGCGGCUUGACGCGCCCGACGUGAAAGCCCCCGGCUUAACCCGGGGAGGGUCGUCGGGUACGGUCAGGCUUGAGGGCGGGAGAGGGUGGUGGAAUUCCCGGUGUAGUGGUGAAAUGCGUAGAGAUCGGGAGGAACACCUGUGGCGAAGGCGGCGAGCUGGCCUGUACCUGACGCUGAGGCGCGACAGCGUGGGGAGCAAACAGG